UGGCGGUUGGUAAAACAGAAUUUGCCUGGCGGCGGUAGCGCGGUGGUCCCACCUGACCCCAUGCCGAACUCAGAAGUGAAACGCCGUAGCGCCGAUGGUAGUGUGGGGUCUCCCCAUGCGAGAGUAGGGAACUGCCAGGCA
rnacentral:rRNA from 1 species